AGAGUUUGAUCCUGGCUCAGGACGAACGCUGGCGGCGUGCUUAACACAUGCAAGUCGAACGGUAAACCCGCUUCGGUGGGGGAUCAGUGGCGAACGGGUGAGUAACACGUGGGCAACCUGCCCCCGGCUCUGGGAUAACUCCAAGAAAUUGGGGCUAAUACCGGAUAUGACCGCUGACCGCAUGGUCUGGUGGUGGAAAGAUUUAUCGGCUGGGGAUGGGCCCGCGGCCUAUCAGCUUGUUGGUGGGGUAGUGGCCUACCAAGGCGACGACGGGUAGCCGGCCUGAGAGGGUGACCGGCCAUACUGGGACUGAGACACGGCCCAGACUCCUACGGGAGGCAGCAGUGGGGAAUAUUGCGCAAUGGGCGAAAGCCUGACGCAGCGACGCCGCGUGGGGGAUGACGGCCUUCGGGUUGUAAACCUCUUUCAGCAGGGACGAAGCGUGAGUGACGGUACCUGCAGAAGAAGCACCGGCCAACUACGUGCCAGCAGCGGCGGUAAUAC
rnacentral:rRNA from 1 species